GGAUCCAGACUUUGAUUCUGGCUCAGGAUGAACGCUAGCUACAGGCUUAACACAUGCAAGUCGAGGGGCAGCGAUGAAGAAAGCUUGCUUUCUUCAGGCGGCGACCGGCGCACGGGUGAGUAACGCGUAUCGAACCUGCCUCAUACUCAGGAAUAGCCUUGCGAAAGUAAGAUUAAUGCCCGAUGUUAUUAGGAUAUCACAUGAUGUUUUAAUUAAAGAUUUAUCGGUAUGAGAUGGCGAUGCGUCCCAUUAGCUUGUUGGCGGGGUAACGGCCCACCAAGGCAUCGAUGGGUAGGGGUUCUGAGAGGAAGGUCCCCCACAUUGGAACUGAGACACGGUCCAAACUCCUACGGGAGGCAGCAGUGAGGAAUAUUGGUCAAUGGACGCAAGUCUGAACCAGCCAAGUGGCGUGCAGGAAGACGGCCCUCUGGGUUGUAAACUGCUUUUAGUUGGGAAUAAAGUGCACCACGUGUGGUGUUUUGUAUGUACCAUCAGAAAAAGGACCGGCUAAUUCCGUGCCAGCAGCCGCGGUAAUACGGAAGGUCCAGGCGUUAUCCGGAUUUAUUGGGUUUAAAGGGAGCGCAGGCGGACCUUUAAGUCAGCUGUGAAAUACGGCGGCUCAACCGUCGAACUGCAGUUGAUACUGGAGGUCUUGAGUGCACACAGGGAUACUGGAAUUCAUGGCGUAGCGGUGAAAUGCUCAGAUAUCAUGAAGAACUCCGAUCGCGAAGGCAGGUAUCCGGGGUGCAACUGACGCUGAGGCUCGAAAGUGCGGGUAUCAAACAGGAUUAGAUACCCUGGUAGUCCGCACAGUAAACGAUGAAUACUCGCGAUUUGCGAUACACAGUAAGUCGCCAAGCGAAAGCGUUAAGUAUUCCACCUGGGGAGUACGCCGGCAACGGUGCAACUCAAAGGAAUUGACGG
rnacentral:rRNA from 2 species